GGAAAGACUCCUGCUGCUUCCUACUAGACGUGAGGCUUGCACUGCUCCCGCCAUGGAGCUCAGAUCAUGCCCUGGAGAAGCAGGUGACAUCGCGGAAUUUUCCUGUUCCAGAUGCCAGAAGUCUGAAAUGAAGGUGUAAAGCAGGGUGGUUCCUUCUGGAGGCUCUGAGAGAAUCACCCCAGGCCUCUCUCCAGCUUCUGGUGCUGGUAUUCUCAGGCUUGUAGGCGCAUCACCCAUGUCUGCCUCCAUCUUCACAUGGCCUUCUCCUCUGUGUCUGCCUGAAGUCUCCCUUCAUUUCUCUUGUAAGGACAUCAGUCAUUGGAUUUAGAGCCCACCCUAAACCCAGAAUGAUCUCAUCUCAAGAUUACAUCUGCACAGACGCUAUUUCCAGAUAAGGUCACAGUCAAAGUGCUGGCUUGUGUUUGACACCAUGCCUGACACAUUGGGGGUGCUCAGUAGACCUGUGUGAGAUGGACAGCCUCCCGUACAGAUGGACGGACAGAUGUACAGCCCCGUGGAGAUGCCCUGUGUAAGCCACUGAAGCCUCUGGCCAACAGCAGUGGGAACCUGAGACGUGUCCACAAGCAUGCAUGGGAGCUUGGAAGUGGAUCCUUCAGCCCCAGCCAAGCCUUCAGACGAUGCAGCCUCAGGGACAGUAUGACUGCAGCCUCAUGAGACCCUGAGCCAGAAACACCCCUCCAAGCCACUCCCAGAUGCCUGGCCCUCAGAACCUGGGAGGUAAUAAAUAUUUAUGGCUGUUUGAAGCUGCUGUAUCGGGGGACAAUUUGUUACACAGUAAUAGCUAACUGGUGCAGUCCUGGGACUCUUAGCAGUUUGGAGUAUCAGUUAUUUUGCCAAGGCGGGGAAGUUAACAGUGGUCAUUGCAGCAGCUGCACUUGGGGACCACAAUAAAGAAGCUUUCUCAGACUGGUUUGAACAAAGUGGUGAAUUCUCUGCAAGGACACAGAGGUGUCUCUCAAAACCCAAGGAUGGGACAGCAGGCCUCAAGAAGAACUGGAACCUCUGUCCCUUCUGUGCUUCUUUUUACUCCUGUGUUCUCUGCUUCUUGGAGCACUUGGCAGUUGGGAAGUGGCCAUUUCAAUUCUCGUGGUCAAGAAACCAGCUCAGAAAUAACCCAACCAACACAGGUGGGGUCAGGUGUCCAUCCUGGCUCCAUUUGUCAUGGCGGGAGAUGGUGAUGAAGAGAAACAUCCAGGACCAUUGGUAGGGCACCCGAAUGAGAUUCCAGGAGAGGCCAGUUCUAAGAGAAGGGUACUAGAAAGAUACCCAUUGAAGUCAAUACCACAUGUGGCACAUCCUCCUUUCAGGUGGCAAGUGUGUAGCCAAAGCAAGGUUCAGGGUCCAUAUUUGAAAGUCAGAAACUGAAUAAACUGUUUUCUCCCACCCCGAGCACUGUGGGGAACUCUGCUCACAAAUCCACCAUCCACCAUCACCAGCCGUGCUCAUCUGACCAUUCAUGCAGGCUCACACUUGACCUGAUGUGGGUUCUGUCUCCUUUGCUUGAGAAUUGAAAGGCCUGGGAGAUGCAAAAGCUUUAGGCUCCAGCCAUCUCCCCAUGUCAGGUAGGCCUUUUGCCUAGUGUAUCCAGUUGGUAAUGCUGCAGAGAUGCAUGAAGCUGGAGUCAGAGGCCACCUGUAGUGCUGCCCUGACUUCAGACCUGAGCCCAGCCCAGCAGCAGAGAGGGGGCUGGGAGCCAGAGGAGGCCUCACAGUAACAGCACAGACAGGUGGGGGCCCACAACAGGCCACAUGUGUUCAAACUCGAGUGUGGGCAGAGGAGCAUGGGAAGCUCAGAGCCCUGAGCUCACCCCACACCCAACACGAGUGGGGUCACCCAAAAUCAGCCUGUCAGCACUGUCCCAGCAGCCAGUCGCAUGCUACAUUAACAAAUUUUGCACAGGCCAGCAAGCAGGAUCGCUCACCAGCCACCCUCCUGAACUGGCCUAUGGGGCCCCAGGAUGAUGCCAUAGCCACAAGUCUGGAGUUCCUCAAAGUACCUGGUCAGCACAACUCAGUUAAACAAUGGGCAAAAGACCUGAACAGACACUUCGCCAGAGAAGAUGUACAGAUGCAAGUAAGCAUUUGAAAAGGUGCCCCACAUCGUAUGUCGUUAGGGAAUGGUCCAAUCCAGAACACUGAUGGCACCAAAGGCUGCUGAGCAUGUGGAGCAGCAGAACUCUCAUUCACUGCUGGUGAGAAAAAUGGCGCAGCCCCAAUAGGGAACCCUAAUGCAGACUCUGGACUUCACUGGAAAUGACGUGUCAGUGUAGCUGCGUCAGUUGUAACAAAUGCACCAGUCUGGUGGGCGUGUUGAUAACCGGGGCUGCGCACGUGGGGAGAGAGGACCUGUGGGAAUGCUCUACUUUCCACUCAUUUUUGCUGUGAACUUAAAACUGCUCUUACAAAAUAACAUUGUUUGUUGUUGUUGUUGUUGUUGUUGUUGUUGUUGUUUUUAAGUAUCUAGUCAGCUCCACACAUGACCCGGGCAGAGUGGGAAGUUGUAGAGUGCCCCAAGGAGAGAAAUGGAACCAGGUCUCAUGUGGGGCCAAGUGUGGGCUCCCUGUCCUCUCAGCUGGUCCCAGGAACUGAAGGGAAAUUUAGACAACUUGGAGAAAGACACUCUAGGGCUCGGGGCAAAGGGUGGUGUUGAUGAGAACCAUAUUUUUUUAUUGCUGGUGUAAGCACUUGUAUUUUUCUGAUUUUCCACUGGUUCGAUAAUAAGGGUAAAAGACAAUAAAGCAUACUUUUUAAGCUUUUGUUUAGAAGUUUUUUUUCCAAUAAAACUUCCCCAAAA
rnacentral:lncRNA from 1 species